rnacentral:tRNA from 1 species
UCCCUGGUGGUCCAGUGGUCAGGACUCUGCUUCCACUGCAGGGGCACGGGUUCAAUCCUUGGUCAGGGAA